UGUGAGAGAGCUGGAAGGAAGCUGCUGGGAAGGAGCAAGGUAGGCUCAGUGAGCAGAGGCACCCAGGCAUUUCAUUUUAAUUGAGUGUGGAUAUUUGAGGGUGUAGUUGUGAGUGUGUUUGGUGUGUAUUUUUGUAGUCUGUGUGUGUGUGUGUGUGUCUGUCAGUGUGGAUCAAUGUGCGUGUGUGUGUCAGUAUGGAUCAAUGUGUGUGUCAGGGAGUGUGUAUGUAUUAGUGAUUGUGUGCCUGUGUUUGUAUGGGAUGCAGCAUUAGUUUGUGUGCCAGUGUCUGUUGAUGAGUAUAUGUCAGUAUGUAUGGGCAUCAGUGACUACACGCCAGUGUGUGUGCCAGUGAGUAUUUAUUAAUUAAAAAUCCAUGUGUCUGUUUUUUUUUUUAUUUAAAAUAAAUUGAAUUUAAAUUUUUUUUUAAAUAUAUUUAUAUAUAUAUAUAGUUUUAUAUAAUUUUGCUUUAUCUAUGUGAUUUGGUGAUUUGUGGGAGUAUUAUGCAUCUAUAUAUUUGCACAAAUGUAUAUUAAUAUAUGUGUAUUAUAUCAAAAUAUACAUAUGUUCAGCCCCCACGGUGAUCGGCUGCCUGAGAGCAGAGGCAGGCAUUGGGAUCACUGAGGACUGAGGCAGGCAGGCUGCUGAAGGAGGGAGGGGGCAGCCGGUUCAUGGAGAGCUGUGGGAGGAAGGCAGGCGGCUGACAGAGGGAAUUGGGCGGCCAGCUCAUUUAUUGCAGAGGGAGGGAGAGGGGUGGCUGGCACAUGGAGAGCUGUGGUAGAAAAGGUGGGCAGCUGACGGAGGGGAGCAGCCGGGUAAUGGGGAGCAGAGGGAGGCGGGCGGCUGACUUAGUGCCACAGCGAAGGAGCUGUAAUCUCCCUGCUCUGCUCCCUUGCACAGCUUGCAGUGAUUCAUGGAGCUGGGUUAUAAUGUCACUCUGGCCCCCGGCUCACUAAACAGUGCGUGAGAGGGAGCCGAGAAGAGAGAUGACAGCAGUGCUACUAGACCCCAGGGGAAGCAUAUUCUCUCCAACUCUCUAAAGGUAGGGAGGCUGGGUGGAUUUAAAUUUAAAUAAAAAAGUAAUUACUUGUGAGUGAGUGUGUCUGAGUGUGUGUGUCUGUCUGACUGUGUGUGUUUGUGAGUAUGUCUGUGACUGUGUGUCUGUCGGAGUGUCGGUCUGAGUGUCUGUCUCUAUGUCUGUCUGUGAGUGAGUCUGAGUCGGUCAGUAAGUGUGUGUGUGUUCCCUCCACUCACAUAGGAAAGGUUUUUUUUUUGUUUUUUUUCCCAUCCUGUGGCUGGCCCCACCUCCAUGGCUGAAAUCCUCAAUCUUGACGAUCUCAGCCAAUCCAAUGCUUCCUCAUAGCAAAGCAUUGGAAGACUAUUGUGCAUGCACGGCAAAAUGCCACUGCGUCAAUUUAACUUCUCAUAGAGAUGCACUGAAUCAAUGCAUCCAUAUAGGGAACAUUAACGUAGGUGCUGCACAGUGUGAAGCACUGACCCAGGAAGCACGUCUAGAGGCCGUCUGAGUGACUGUCGCUAGAGGUGUCACCAGGCAGCAAUGUAAACACUGCCUUUUGUCUGAAAAGUCAGUGUUUACAUUUAAAAGCGUUCAGGGUCAGGAUAUAGACUUCAGAGCAACUACAUUAAGCUGUAGUGGUUCUGGUGAUUGUAGUGUCCCCUUAAGAAUUGUAAUUUUGACGUUGAUUUCUCUGGCUCCUAAUUUUUCUAGCUGGCUGCUAGAUUCCAAACUAAUUUGUCAAACUGUGUGUGUGUGUGUGUGUGUAUAUAUAUAUAUAUAUGUGUAUAUAUAUAUAUAUACACACACACACGUAAUCUUAGAAAUUAUUAUGGUUAGAAUAUAUAUAUAUAUACACACACAAACAUCAGUAUGAUACACAUAUGUUAAUAGACAUUCAUACAUAAUACACAUUUGAAGAUUACACACGUAUAUAAAUGUAACAAGGUUUUAAAUUUUUCAAAGGGUUAUUCUAAAUUUCUAAUUUUAGAAAGUGAAAAUCUAAAUGGCGUUUUUUAGACCAAAAUAGCGGAUUUGAAAAAUCCAAACUUCGCCAUAGUGACAGCUUGACUAUUGUAGCCUAAUUUUUGGAAUUUAUUCACACAAAAUAUUUAAUUUAGUCGAUAACCCUGCCCUUCUCUCAGUCUUUCAUUCCCUGGUAUCAAACUAUAUCCAACGCAGAGUGCACUCAUAGGAUUGAGGACUAAACAAAAUAAGAUUAAUUUAAAUUAGACAUGCAGCAGCUAUCAGUCAAUGACUAUUCAAGUUUUGGGGAUGAAACGUUGGGUAAAUAAUUUUCAAUCCUUUGUGUUUUUCCACCUGUAUAUCUGUCACAGUUGGCACAAUUAAUGUUAGGGCUGGUGUAAAAAAAAUCCAGGGCUGCUUUUUAUUCCCAGUCCGGCCCUAUUGCAAACUAUGACAAUAUAAUCAAAUCUUCUCUUUAUUCCAUGUUAUAUCAGUGAGAAAGCAUAAAACAACAUUGGCAAAUGAACAGUGAAGGUGUUCUGAAUGCUUCUACAUGAUGUGCCCUUACGAGGUAUCUCAGCCAAUAUCAAGUGAGAAAAAGGGACUAGGGGUCCAUCACAUAAACCAUUAUAAAAGCCCACUGGAAAUUUUAUUUUGUGAAAAAGAAAUAUAUAUGAUCCCUAUCAUAUAGCUGUCAAAAAAAGUUAUAUAGUCUCAGUGUCAGACAAUGCCAGAAAAGGACACCAGUGGUGUUAGCCAUGAACAACAGUGUUACUGAAAAGUAAAGCGGAGUAAGAGCAUUGUUCUUUUAACGUUUCUAAGACAUGUCACAAUUAUAUGCUGUAACUAUUAAUGGAUAUGCAAACAUUUGAAAAUGCUAACAAUAUUAAAUUAAUAUAUAAAAAACAAUAUGGAGAAAAGAAAAAGAAAGUAAAGGGGUAUAGGCACACAACUCUUUGAACAUUUCCAACCUUUCCUUUCGGCCCAUAUGGAAUAGCAAGUUUAGCAGUUAUUAUCACAUUGGUUGAGCAAGAGCUGAGCACUUAAGCUCCGUCUUGCCAAUGAGCCAGUCCACGUUCCCUGACCCUCCAUUUUUUUCUCAUGUAAGUCAAUACCAAAUUUCUUUAUCCAAGUUGAUGGACUCUAUAAUACUACAUAAUAAAAUAUGGUUCCUUGAGCAAAAAUGUAUGCAAAAACGUCUCAUCCUCUAUCUUAACCUUUUAGAUCUUUGUAUAAAAAAUACUGCUCAGCUAUUUCUUCCAAAACACAAUCUGUUCACUGUAUUAGAAAUAUCUCUCCCAGAUUGCUAUUAAGUACUGGAGAGGAUAGUUGAUCAUUUGAUUCCUAAUCUCUCUAAAUGUCCCCUCUCAUCUUCUUAUCUCUCACCUGAGAUAACGCAAAUAUGCUUUUAAUCUCUUGAACUGCAAAAUGUGCUUUGUGCUUUUUAUAAAAACGGUACCACCAGUAUAUGGCAAUAUUUUAUUUCACAUCACCUGUAUACCUUAAAGCAAAACAUUGAUCUGUGUUCAGAUGAAAGUUUAACUUUUUUCCCGCCUACUAUUUAGAUAUAGCAUUUGAUCCUCAAAUAGCGAAAAUAUUACCUACAUGAAAAACAUGUGUGCAAUAAGACUGACAUUACACAAACAGUAUGUACAAACAGUAUGUACAAAAGGAGAGAACAACCUAAAUGUAAUGUAACAUAUAUCAAAUAACAACUGUAAUAUCAACAACAGCAGUUCAAUUGUUUUUAAGUGUUCUUCACUCAAUGUUUUCAGAGUAUGGAAAAGCUGGGAAGAGAUUAAACUGAAUAAAAUACAAAUACUGAAUAACCAUAUCAGGACUGUGUACUUGAGAAAGCAUCCAUUACCUGAGCUCGUAUACUUAUGACUUUCUGUGAUGAUUGUAGCUAAAUUGCUUGCUGACCCACAACAUGAAUAACCCAACCGUCCCAAGAGGCACUCACUCAUUCCACUUAAAACCCUUCCCAUACCCCAAUUAGAGACAGACUAUAUUACAAUUUUAUUAAAUGUUUAAUAUGCCAGCAACUCAUAACCUAAAACAAUUAUACAAUUCUUAUAUCACUUGAACCAAAGUCCGCAGAGCUUGCAUUGAACCCUCAGCCUCAUAGCAGGCCACGGCUCCCCAGGUCCGUACAGGCAAACAUUCUUUUUCACUAAAUGUUCAGUUAGCAAGGGGCACCACCACUGUGAGAAAACAGAAAAAAACACAACAAACAAGGACAAGAACACUACAAAAAGAAAACAGCUGAAAUCCAACAAACAUCUUUUUUGAGGGCUCGUAGGAGAAAAAAAUUAGCUCAGCCUACCUCAAUCUUUCUUCUGCUGAGUAGUAAGUCCUGCCAGUGACCCCUAUUUAUUUGCUUGCCACCACUUUGCAACACUGUAGUACUAUUUGCCCUCACCAGCCAAUUUCUUAUUUCCAGCAGCAUGUAUGGCAGUCAUGCUCACCCCUCCAAAAAGGUCCAGGGUGUGGGAGUUGGAGUGUAUUUUCUGACAUCAGCUCUCACACAUUUUUUUUUUAUUUUUUUUUUACAUUUAUCCAAGAUCUGUUGCCAGAAUUUGAAGGUAUUAGAUGUUGUAUUACUGUUACACCAUAUUAGUUUUAAUAGUUUUCUAGCUUUGCUUGAAUAGAUGGUUGCACAGUUCCAGAUAUUCGUUGAAGAGUUAUAGAAGCUUUCAUUGAUUUGGUUUUCAGAAGUGGACUUCUUGCAUUACUUCCCAGUAUAGCAUUCUAAGUCACCAAAUAUAAAACCCAAUUAUUGUUAUUUUUUUAUUUUAACUCCUGUUCACCUCCUCCAAGAAGGUGCCGAGUGCAUAGGCGUCUACCUGAGGCCUCAUGGGACAGCGAAUCAGCAAAAAACGAAAGUGAUGCAGAGGUAAGUAAAUUCUAGACUUAUCUCUGCUGCAUUAUUCACCCCAGUAAGUAUUGAAAUAGCAGAAUGAAGGAAUGAGUAACUGUAAUUUCUUUAAAAGUGUCUUUUCUGCUUUAGAAGCAAAAAAACAUUUUUGAAACAUUCUCUCUCUCACUCCUUUUUUAUUCAUUUCCUGCAGAAGGGUGAAAGCCUGGGGUAUUGUGACUUGGGGAUUUCUCCCCUCAUCUGCCAUAAUUUCUCCCUCGUCAUUCUUUCAAGAACAAUAUGUGGGACUGGAUAGACAUGCUAUACCAAAUUUAUUUAUUCUGAAUAUGAUGGAGUAGCGCUGAAGAAUUGUAGAUUAUGCUAACGUAGUGUACCUAUAAUCUUAAUUUUAAUAAUGACAACAAAAAACGCCACAAUAUAUAUAUGUGUAGAAAUCAGUCUGUGUAAGUAAGACACACUGUUCUUGUUCUAAAUUACAUUUUAGUUGCACAAAUUGUUACAAGUAUGUCACCUAAAAUUUCUCAAAACUGCCCCACCCCUAAAUUUGUCUAUUUGAAAUGUUGGGAGGUAAGAAUAAUUUCUCACUUUCAUUGUAUCUCCAACAGGGUCCUGUUAUUUACCAGUAUCCGAGUGGCCACUCCUUGAAAUUCUUCAAGGCACAUUUACUAUAAUUCCACCACAUGUACUGAACCUCCUUUGUUAUGUUUCUUACUUCCAAAUUCCCACUCCAUGUCUCUUACAUAUUCACGAAUAGUUACCAAAGUGAGAAUUCUAAGUGAAUAACCCUGAUUGUGUCAUGACAGCAUAACCAACCAUUGCAGAUUUACGUUCAUAAAUGCCGCUUUAAUAUACUAAUUAUAUAAAAUACACUAUCUGCAUGCCAAAUGUCGCAUUACACAGUAACCUGUUACAGCCAAUCAGACUGUGUUCUGUAUUAGAGCUGGUUUAAUGUGACGCUCUGUGUAAUAUGUGCUCAGUAUGGGAGCUGUCUGAUCUAAUAAGGUCAUUCCAUGGAAGCCCUGGCUAGACAGUAAUAAUCUAGAUGAUGUAACAUAUACAAACUAAGCAGUGUAAAUGAAUCAUUUUGAUAAAAUGAUGAGCAGAGAACAAAUUACUCUGACCUGUGCCUUGGCUUAUCAUGUGAUAAAAUCAAAAUAUGUUGCCUCCUCGUGAUCCAUGCUGAGACAGAACAUGAAAGAAAUAAUUCCCUUGAUGCAUAGUGACAGUAUUUGUUCUCUUCUUUAACCCCUUAAGGACACAUGACGUGUGACAUGUCAUGAUUCCCUUUUAUUCCAGAAGUUUGGUCCUUAAGGGGUUAAAAAGGACAGGCUCUCCUAGUGGGCUAUGGUUUUUGGAGACUAGGUGCUGGCUGUGCAUUGUGCGAAUUUUAAUUCAUUAUCUUACUUUCAUGGAAGAGUUAUACGUUGACCUCUUAAGGUAAAAUGAUUUACAAUAAAUACCAAACCACUUAAAAAUAUUAUCAAGAUUAUAACAUUUUAAAAUACAGUUAUAAAAAUGAAUCGCAAACAAAAAAGAAUUUAUCCUGUAACGAAAGCUUUUGUGUUUUGUACUAUUAUACAUCAGUGUAUGAAAAGAGUUAUAGAAAAUUCAACUGUCAAGUGUGUUUCAUCUAUCUGAAAUUAUUACUGAUCUGUAAUAUGUAAAUUGAGCUAUUAUCACUUUGCUUUUACACUUUUGUGCCCAAAAACACAGUAAAUAGACACACAGAAGACAAGACUUGAUUUAGGUCAUCCCAGGUAUCCCAAAGUUUGUGCAUGCAAAUUAUAGAUCAGUACUUACCGGUAAACAGUAUAGAAAGAAAUAGAUACAUCUUUAGAAUGGUAAGAAUUAACACAUAGAGCAUGCAUAUGCAUAAACUUUCAAAAAACAUAGUAAACAGUGAAACAUGUUAAAGGAAGCCAGAGUCACAAAUCUGAUUAGCAAAGCUGAUUUCAAGGGAAACCAGAGAAGAGAAAAUUCAUGGUCAAAGCCAUGUCAAAAUCAACACAUUUUUGGAUCAAACAGUGGAAGGGGUUUUAAAUACUAUUUACAAUAUUGUCAUUUCUGGAUAAAGCCAUGUAUGCAUGGUCGAGAACCACUAUAUUAGGGCAUACUUAAACCAGAAUUAUUAAAGUGAAAUAGGUAUUGCUAUUAUGCAGCAUUUUGUAUAUAUGUAGAUUGUACUGUAUGUUUUCACACUAAUCUCUGUAUGUAUGAUGUAUACCAAUUAGUCCUCACAGCAGCUACACAAUUAAUGUACGCCAGUUUAAGUAACAUCUCUUCCUAGUCAAAGUGGAUUCUGAUGGAGGAGAAGAAGAGCGCAGGAAAAAAAAAGCAUGUUUUGUAAUUAUAUUUAUAUAUUGUUCUGGCUUUAUUAAUAAACGUGGUUGAUAAAUACACUCUAAACCAGGGGUAGGCAACCUAUGGCACAUGUGCCAUGCACGGCACUCGAUGUGCCUUUGCACAGCACUCAAGCCUGCUAGAGCCAAACAGGCUUUGGCCUAUCAGGAGUACCAGUGAAACUUCAGAUAUCUGCUAAUACGAAAAGGUGGUGAAGGACAAUCCUCAAUUUAUGCAUUGCAGCACGUAGAGGAAGUGAUCUCAGAUCACUUCCUCUCAGCACUUGUGAAUGGGAAUCCACACUGUAGUAGAGCAGCCCGCAGCUGCUCUUGCAGCUCCUGUCCUUGACCGGUACCUGGUCAGCCUGGUCCCCACUGGAACCCAGGGAAGCCACCCACGCUGCUAGAUAUACACAAAAAUGCAGAAUAACCCUCCCCUCAUACAAAUAAUAUGAACAGCCCACAAACAAACAUACACACAAUCUCCACAAACUCAACACCACUGACAAUCCACAUACAUAACCCCACAUGCAGCCUCUAACAUGCAAUACCCCAAACAGCCCCCACACAUACACACACUACCAGAUACACAAUGUGACAAGUCCAUCCACACACACAAUUCCACAAGCAGCCCCCAUACACAGCCCACAUUCAUAGGUACUCAAUACCACAAACUGCUCAAGAACAUAUACAAUAUAAUAGCUCAUAUACGCACAAAUACAACGAUACAAAGCAACUGCAGUAUAAAUAACACAAGCAGCAUACGGCAACAUACACACCUCAAUUUUAAAAAAAUAGGACCGGCACGCUACGGGACGUCACAAUCCUAUUUCGGCACAGUGCUGCUAAAAGGUUGCCUACCCCUGCUCUACACUAUAGUACAGUGUUACACUAUAGUACAAUUAUUCAAGCUAUGAGAAAUAGUAAUGUAAUGACAGCAAACAGCCAUGAGAGGGAGCAAUGCAUUCCACAAACACAUAUGCUGCAAUGCAAAGAUUAAAAAAACAAAAACCGCAUGAAAUGGUUCACAGGCUUGCUGGAUGUGUGAUACUGUCGAUAGGUGCUGCAGAGGAGCGUUACAGAAUAUUAUACGCGCGCUUUCUUUCGACCAGAUCAUGAACAAAAUGUUCACAUCUUUCAUCACCUGUUCUGUGGAUGAAAACCCACUGACAACAAAUGGUGCAUUUUGUAAUCUGAGCAUCGAAAUAGUAACAAGCUACUGGCCCAUCUAGUCUGCCUUUAGGAAAUAAAUAUGUUUAUGGAUAUUUAGGUGGGCUAAAUUAGAAAAUCUAAAACUUAUCAAAGAGAGAAAUUCAAAUAACAAAGUAUUUUAAGGAAAUUAAUGCCUAUAAUAUGAAUAUGAGUCCAUCGUACAUUUGUCUGAUAUUUUUGAAUUGGUAACUGAGCAUCAGAAUAAGGUGUGUAUUUUAAAUAUAUUAUUUUAUGCAGUGUAUAAAAUGGAAGGAGUGGUGGCUCUAGACCAUGGCCCCCAAAAGGUAGGUCCCCAGAUGUUGUAGAACUACAACUCCCAUGAUACUUUGCAUGCCUUUAGAAUGCUUUUAUAAUGACAAAGCAUCGUGGAAGCUGUAGUUUUAAAAUAUCUGGUGAUCUACCUUUUGGGUGCCCCUGAUCUAGAUUCUUAAAUCAGUAUUACAAAAACUGUAUAAAAAUAUGUAAUUAUCUGAUACAACAUAGAUAUUGCUGCAAUAAUAGCUUGCCCAAUAAAGAAAAUGUAAUCAUACUUAAUCAUACCAUAAUUUUCUUUUCCUGGCUAAUCCACUUGACUAUUUAGGACAGGAAAUAAAAGCUAUGAAUACACCUCCUACUAGAUAGUAUAUAAAUACUUCACAAUCCUAAAAAAUGAAUAAGGGAGGAAUACCAUGCUGCUAUGGUUACAUCCAGGAAAAGAAAACUAUGGUAUGUAUGGCUAUGUAUUUAUUCCUGGUUUACCGAUGUAUCCAACCAACACUCACUCACUCACUCCUGUACAAGAUUAUAGCCCUCACUUAACGAAGCUUGUUUAUGUGCUGAACACCACAAGUGAAAAAUCAAUGUCACAUAAUUAUUAAGAACAAUGGAUGAAGUAGAAUUACCAUUAGGUGUCUGAAGAUUAUAUUGGAUACUAGUAAUGGCCUGAAAAAAUAAUAUAUUCCACUCUCUGAAGGAGGUAACGUUAAUGUGCUGAAAGACACACCAAUAUGGACUUACAGCCAGGCUUGAAUUGUAUACGUGCUGACUCAGACAAGUACAGAAGUGUCCAGAACCAAGGAUAUUUCAUUCUCUGAUGGAAGGCCUGUGUAUGUGCUAAAAUACACCAGUGCUGGAAAUCACUGCCACAUAUCUUCUUAUAAACAAGGCCCAGUGUGGACUUGGUAUCGGCCUUCUAGAUAUGUACUGGACUGUAGCAUACAGUCAGUAGUCCGUACAGCCAUCAACAGAACUCUUUCCUAGAAUGCCAACACAAGACUUAUAAAACUUACCUAGAUGUUCCCCAAUAAACCUGCUAAAUGUGACCCAUUGGUAAUAAGGAAAGCACAUACUAUGUAACAGGAGUAACUGAAAUAACAGUAAACCCCCUUAACUAUAAAAGCUGGUAACUCAGCACAUUAACAUAUCUCUUUCACAAAGAUAAGUAAUGCAUCUCUCACAUAAAUGCUAUAAUAGGUAUAUUAAAAUAUAAUGCAACUCAACAAAAAUAGAACAAAAAACCCCAAAAACAUGAAGCAGAUUAUUUUUGUUUUCAUGUGAAAAACAACAAGGAUGGAAGAAACAGGAGAAAAAUGCGUUGUCUCUUCAAUAAGCAGUCAGUUUAGUGAAUAGAAAGGAGAGGAUGCAAAUGAAGAUAUAGAUCUCCAAGAACGUCAGAGGUUAUAACGUACCAAUAAUUAAAGCUUUGAAAGUAAUUUGCUGGACAUAAAAAUUCAAAGUAACUCUGGUUAAAGGUAUACAAUAGAACUUGCACAAUAGUCAUGAACAACCAGUGAUAUCAAAUCACUUGAACAACAUUCCAUAGGCAAGUAUCCAGAAAUUAAUAUAUAGAGUAUGGUGCAUUUAUCGCUGAAGCCAGAGAGAAGCAUUGUAACUAACUUGGCAGGUAAUGUCAAGUCAUAAUCCAGAGAGCAGCAUAGUCAAAUACAGAUCAGAUGCCAGAGAACAGUGUGGUGACAUAAAGACCUGGCUCAGAAGAGCGUGGUCAGGUACACAUCCGAUUCAGAAGCCAGAUAAGGAAGACGAGCUACAGAAGGAAUUCCAAGGGAUCAUCAGUUGUGAAUAGCCGGGUAGAAAUCGGUGUAAUAGUCCAAGUAAUUUCUGAACCUUGAACAGACACUAAUACCAAGAAGAAGAACUCACCUCCAGAGCAAAAUAAAAAAUAAAACAUGAUAAAUUUAGAUGCAUCUUUUCCGAAAUAGAGGCAACUAAAUGAAGCUAAGAAACCCGCACACAUAAUCGGACACUCCUGUCCUAAUGACAUCUUUAUUGCCACACCUGCCCCUGCUAAAAAGCCUCCAUUGUCCUAAAUGAACCAACAUGAAAAUAUAGCUGACCUGAAGAAUUUCUUUAGUUUGUUUUUUUACCUAAAAUUUGAAAUUAGUUUUGAAAUGCUCACAAACUUUAAUGAGCAACUUUGUCGGUGUGCGAGUCAAUCAUAAUUACAUGUAAAGGCGGGGUAUAUAGAUUGAAAUUCCAUCCUUUCUUUUUUAAAACAAGUAGACCGUUUCUCUUUAAUUUACUCCUUCUGUUAAUAUAUUUUAGCCUCAUACUAACUGAUCUCAAAUGAUAUAAAUUAGUCUGAUUAUGCUUGAUUAGACUUUUGAUUCAUAAUACUCUGUUUUAAUUUGGGAAUUGCUAAUUUUUCUUUAUAAUUUAAAGUUGAUCAUAUCAUGGAAAUGUGUCUAGUGAUAAAUACUUGAUCAUUUAUUUUCUACCUUAUUUAUAUUCAUUAUAAAAAAUUAGAACACCUCUCACAUAAAUGUUUAAAGGUUAAACAGUUUCAGUUUGUUUUAAUGUGCAAAGUUAAGUUAUAAAAUCAAAUAAGCAAUCUGAAUUUGUGAUUGAAAUAUGAUUAGGUUUGCUUUAAUGAAUAACUGAAAGAGGAUGUGAUUUACAUAUCUAGGUGAAAGACUGACUCUGAACUACAGUAUUAAUGCAUUAAUAUACUGCUAUUAUUGUGCUAUUGUGAUUGUAAUUUACAUUUUUUAUAUUAUUAUUAUUUUUAGCAUUUAGACCAAAAUAUGAUCCAAAAACAAGGCAAAAAAAAUAUUUGAAGUGAGGGACAAUUAUGACACAAAAACUGAAAUCAAAAUUUUCCUUGGAUCAACAACCUAUUCACAUAUAUAAUAUUCAUAUUGGUGAAUAUUCUUCUUUUCCAAUAAAAUGUUAAGAAUUUAGAAAAAAAUAUAUACAGAAUCUGAGAAGAUGACCUCUUUGGGUAGACAAUUCCACAUCUUUGUUAUUCUUACUGUAAAUAACCCUUUCUUUUGCUGUGAGCGAAAACACCUUUCUUCCAGUCUGAAUAUUUGACAACUUGUCUCUUGUAUAUUCCUGCUAACGAACAGGUUUGCUCAGUGGUUCCCCAACCUCCUCAAGGCAUCCAUUCCAGUACAGGAUUUAGGGAUUACCCAGUUGUGUCUAUGGUGUUUUUAGAAAUAAAAAAACACCUUAGACACCUCUAACACCUUAGACACAAUUGGAUAAUCCUUAAAUUCUGGACUGGUAGGUGUGCCUUGGACUGGGUUGGGAACCACUGGGUUAGCACAUUGUACUGAGCUGUAUGUAUUUGUAAAUUGCUAUGAUAUCUCUCUGAGAUGCCUUUUUUUUCCCUUAAAGAAAACAAUGCAGUUUCUCUAGUCAUUCUUCAUAACGGAUGUUUUCCAUCCCCCUAAUUGAUUUUGUAGCUUGUCUCUGCACUUUUUCUACUUCUGCAAUAUCCUUCUUAAAAACUGAUGACCAACAUUAAAAUAUAUAUAACAUACAAAAUACAGAAUCCACUCGCUCAUUCACUAAACAGCAAUUUCAAGUCUCCCAGAAUGCAAUGUUUUUAUUUAAAAACACCUAAUCUAGGCAAAAAAUAAUGGGGGUUUAGUUACAGUAUAUGCUUAUACAUUGCAUAAACCUGCCACAACGUCAAUGUACCCCAUUCUUGGUAGGUCCUACUCUAGCAGCCUAAUGUCUUAAAUAUAUAUAUAAGCUCUAUAUAUGUGGGCUCCCUCCUUUUAUGAAAGUAUUAUAGUUUUUGCUAUAUUCCACUAAUGUACUAGCCUCUGCUGCCAGUAUUAGUUAUAAGUGAUGUUAUUACGUUAUAUGACUACCUACUAUACCAGGGUGUUUUUUUUCUGAAUGCUCUCUCUGCCCAUCUGAUCCUAUCUCCUUCAACUGUCUCUCCUAUUUGCCAUUUUUAACUCUACAGAGAUACAUUUACAUUGGAUGUGCAAUGGUGGUAUAUGUGUAUAAUAUAUAUGUGUUCUUAAUAAAUUUAUAAUUUAUAGUUUAUAAUAUGUGGAAUGUGCUUUUCCUCCUUCUGGGCAUUCAGAAAACAUUGAAUAUUUUAAAAGAGACCCUAGUCACAGCAAUACGGAUCUUAAAAAGGUAUUGUCUUAAUCCCAAUCAGCUGAUUUCAGUGGGAUUAACCACAGGAUUGCAUAAAUAGUCCUAAGUGUACGACCUUCCAUUUUUAAGUACUAGAGCUCAAAUUAUGUUGAUGACUUGCACUGACAGAGGUGAUUUUAAUUUAGUGGAAAAAUAGUAUCUUAAUCAUUAUCAUUCAAAUAUUCACAGUAGAGGUUGAAAAGAGUUUGUGAAAUCCUAGGCCUAGGCUAAUCACUUCAACACUUUAGAGUUGGAAAUAACAAACCUGGUGUCAAUUAAUGAAACAAGAUUGGAGGUGUGGGUUAGAGCUAUGUUGACUUAUAAAAAACACUCAAACAUUUAGAAUUUACCAUUCACAAAAAGCAUCUGUUGAUGUGAACCAUGCCUCACAAAAAAAGAGCUCCCAGCAGAACUGUGCGUUGCAUAAAGCUGGAACGGGUUAAACAGUUAAAGGACCACUAUAGGCACCCAGAACACUUCAGCUUAAUGAAGUGGUCUGGGUGCCAGGUCCAGCUAAGUUUAACCCUUUCUUCUAUAAACAUAGCAGUUUCAGAGAAACUGCUAUGUUUAUAAUAGGGUUAAUAAUAGGGUUAAUCCAGCCUAUAGUUGCUGUCUCAUUGACAGCCACUAGAGGCGCUUGCGUGCUUCUCACUGUGAUUUUCACAGUGAGAGCAUGCCAGCGUCCAUAGGAAAGCAUUGAGAAUGCUUUCCUAUGGACUGGCUGAAUGCGCGCGCAGCUCCUGCCACGCAUUCACAUUCAGCCGAUGACAGCGAUAUGGAGGAGAGUUCCCCGCCCGGUGCUGGACAAGGAGAUAAAUUUAACCCCUUCCAUCCCCUAGAGCCUGGCGGGCACCCUCAGGGCACAAUAGUGCCAGGAAAACAAGUAUGUUUUCCUGGCACUAGAGUGGUCCUUUAAAUCAAAGAGCCUAGAUAUUAAUUUCUCUGCUGUUAGACAAACUGUCUAUAAAUGGAGAUGAUUUAGUACUGUAGCUACUCUCCUUAGAUGUGGCCGUCCAGCCCAGAUGACUCAAAGGGCACACAUCGCACAAUGCUAAAUGUCAUAAAAAAGAACCCCAGAUAGCUAAAGACUUGAAGAAAUCAUUAAACUAGUUAACAUCUUUGUUUACAGGAAACAUCGAACAAGCAUGGUGUCCAUAGCAGGACACCAAGAAGAAAGCUGCUGCUUUAAAAAGAAAAAGAACCCGCAGCAAUCCAGAACCUAAAUGUUGCCAAACAGGUGAUCCCACAGUACUGGAAAAGUCAAGAGACUCCCCCAGUCACUACUUGGUUCACUCAGAUGGAAGAAUUCCGGGCAAUGGAGGACCUUACGAUGAGCAAUGUUUGCCCUAAACAAACAUACCUGACAAUAUGGUUGCACUGGCUCCUGAUGACAGCAAAACCAAACUUUGCAGACCGGCUUUGAUACAAACCAUAAUAGACAGAUAUGACUAUAAUUCUAUUUUAUUUUUAUUUUUUUUAUGCUCAUUUUCCUCCUCUUCCCUCCCACUCCCCUGAUUAUAUUCAGAUGAACAUGGAAUCUGGUUAUUGCGACUACCUACUGACUGCUAUAUACCUAUUAAUGCAAAGGCAGACUUGUGAGUCCUGCCAAAGUUACCAAAUUGGUACAGAGCCUGCGUGGUCAAACUUUAUCUUUAUAUCACGUAUUGUAUCUGUUCCCAUGUGUUUGCUACACGAGACCUGCGAGUCUCAUUAUUUACUACUCAAG